UGACACAGCCAGUGAAGCAUGCUGGUUGCAGCAUGACGCUGUGAGGAUGGUUUACAGCUCCAGUAAAAGGAGGACAACUGGCUGCCAUUGAAGGAAAGACAAAUGCGGUGAAAGACAGAGAUACAGGAUCCUAGAAAAAAAAACCUUCUCCAGAAUCCUCAGAACAUCAGGAGAAAGGAAUGUUCCCAACACGGAAGAGUGACUGGCUGGAGAGGCGGCCAUCAAAAGAAGAUAAACAACAGAGAACUUCUAGACAGCGACACCACCUCACUUUCAACCGGUGGUCCAGUUUCCGAGUCCUUGGUGUGUUGUUCCAAUGAGGUUAUCUCCUGUCCAAAACAUCACAAUGAGCGCUAAUUUACAAGCCAGAUCAGGACUUGGGAGGGAGGAGGCUAAGGAGGCCUCGGGGAAGGAGAGGGAGCAGCCUGCAUGGGGCCCUCGUCCUGCACUGCCCGCUGACUGGCCGAGGAGAGCUGUUCUCAUCAUGGGAACGGCCCAGUCGGGUCCCAGCUGGAGCAGCCAUACUGUGGCCUGUGCGCCGCAACAAUAAGGGCGACCAGAAAAAGGACAGAGGGCUGUCUUAGUCGACUUUAUAUAGUCCCCUAAAUCAUUAGAGGCUCUGACAAAGCGCAGGCGAGGGAGGAUGUGGGUAUCAUAAAAACCAUUAAUAACCCUAUACUUACUGGUGUGAAAAUGUCGACAAGUCUCGGAUACCGGAGUGUAAUGUUCUCAUCAUCUUUAAUUACCUGUAACUACUACUAACGUCGCCCAAUGAUAUACUACCUUCUAUUUCCUCACCACAGCAUUCUGGCAUUGUUUUACAUAACAUAUCAUUUCCAUCACUGAGGACCGAGUAAUGUAAACAUUGUUUCG